rnacentral:rRNA from 1 species
GACGAACGCUGGCGGCGUGCCUAAUACAUGCAAGUCGAACGCACAGUUUAUACCGUAGCUUGCUACACCAUAGACUGUGAGUUGCGAACGGGUGAGUAACGCGUAGGUAACCUGCCUGGUAGCUGGGGAUAACUAUUGCAAACGAUAGCUAAUACCGCAUAAUAUUAAUUAUUGCAUGAUAAUUAAUUGAAAGGUGCAAUUGCACCACUACCAGAUGGACCUGCGUUGUAUUAGCUAGUAGGUGAGGUAACGGCUCACCUAGGCGAGGAUACAUAGCCGACCGGAGAGGGUGAGCGGCCAGACUGGGACUGAGACACGGCCCAGACUGCUACGGGAGGGAGCAGGAGGGAAUCGUCGGCAAGGGACGAAAGUCUGACCGAGAAACGCCGAGUGAGGGAAGAAGGAUGUCGGAUCGUAAAGCUCGGUUGUAAGAGAAGAACGGGUGUGAGAGUGGAAAGUUCACACUGUGACGGUAACUGACCAGAAAGGGACGGCUAACUACGUG